GAUGAAGAACGUAGCGAAAUGCGAUAAGUAAUGUGAAUUGCAGAAUUCAGUGAAUCAUCGAAUCUUUGAACGCACAUUGCGCCCGCCAGCAUUCUGGCGGGCAUGCCUGUUCGAGCGUCAUUUCAACCCUCGCAGCCCAUCUGGGCAGCGGUGUUGGGGACCGGCACCACCGGCGAAGCCCUUAGGGGCCCAGCCGGCGCCGCCCCCGAAAUACAGUGGCGGUCUCGCUGCAGCCUCCCUUGCGUAGUAGCACACCUCGCACCGGAGCGCAGCGCGGCCACGCCGUAAAACCCCCGACUUUCUGAGUUUGACCUCGAAUCAGGUAGAAAUACCCGCUGAACUUAAGCAUAUCAAUAAGCGGAGGA
rnacentral:misc_RNA from 1 species